rnacentral:tRNA from 1 species
GAGGGUAUAGCUUAAGGGUAGAGCACAUGCUUAGCAUGCACGAGGUCCUGGGUUCAAUCCCCAGUACCUCCA